rnacentral:rRNA from 1 species
GAUGAACGCUGGCGGCGUGCCUAAUACAUGCAAGUCGAGCGAACAGAUGAGGAGCUUGCUCCUCUGACGUUAGCGGCGGACGGGUGAGUAACACGUGGAUAACCUACCUAUAAGACUGGGAUAACUUCGGGAAACCGGAGCUAAUACCGGAUAAUAUAUUGAACCGCAUGGUUCAAUAGUGAAAGACGGUUUUGCUGGCACUUAUAGAUGGAUCCGCGCCGCAUUAGCGAGUUGGUAAGGUAACGGCUUACCAAGGCAACGAUGCGUAGCCGACCUGAGAGGGUGAUCGGCCACACUGGAACUGAGACACGGUCCAGCCUCCUACGGGAGGCAGCAGUAGGGCCUCUUCCGCCAUGGGCGCACGCCUGCCGGAGCACCGCCGCGUGAGUGAUGAAGGUCUUCGGAUCGUAAAACUCUGUUAUUAGGGAAGAACAAAUGUGUAAGUAACUAUGCACUUCUUGACGGUACCUAAUCAGAACGCCACGGCUAACUACGUG